AGAAAAGGGAGUGGAACAUUUUACUUAGGCAGGAAGCACUGAAGAGAAGAAUCUUUUUUUCAGUAGACAUUUGUGGGAAAUAAAAAUUUGUUUAGAAGAAUUUAGGCCAAGAGAUAAAAUGGUCUUCUUUUGACUGAGGAGAGAUAAGAUAGAUUUUAAGCAGACAUCUGAAGUUAAAGGUGAGAGAAGGAAGAUAAACUGGGUGAUUUUGCUCACCUAAGAAGGUACACAGAUCCAAAGAAAAAGAGAUUGGAGAGGUGUCUCCAGCUUCUGAUUUUGAUGACAUCUCCCAGAGAGGACCGUGUUGCCAUCACCAUCCCAGAGUCUGAAAGUGUCCA
rnacentral:lncRNA from 1 species